rnacentral:rRNA from 1 species
UAGGGAAUUGUUCGCAAUGGGCGCAAGCCUGACGACGCAACGCCGCGUGGAGGAUGAAGGGCUUCGGCUCGUAAACUCCUUUCGACCGAGAUGAAUACCCGCAGGGCCAAUACCCUUGCGGACUGACAGUAUCGAGGGAAGAAGCCCCGGCUAACUCCGUGCCAGCAGCCGCGGUAAUACGGGGGGGGCAAGCGUUGUUCGGAAUUACUGGGCGUAAAGGGCUCGUAGGUGGCCAACUAAGUCAGACGUGAAAUCCCCAGGCUCAACUUGGGAACUGCGUCUGAUACUGGAUGGCUUGAAUUCGGGAGAGGGAUGCAGAAUUCCAGGUGUAGCGGUGAAAUGCGUAGAUAUCUGGAGGAAUACCGGUGGCGAAGGCGGCAUCCUGGACCGAGAUUGACACUGAGUGAGCGAAAGCCAGGGGAGCAAA